AGUUCAACGUGUGUUUCGUCUUUUCUGUAUCACAGCGUCAAACGUUGAGGACAAAAAACCACAUUACCCUCAGCACAUCCAAGGUUGCCAGAUGGUUUAUCACAACUGUGUCAACUCUGCUCYUCAAAUAAGGAAGUGACCAGCAGGACUCUGGAAAGCAGACUGYAGCCAAUCAGCUUGCAGCAGCCGGUUUCAACACACGAGGUCAGCCAAGCUACCAAAGCAGAGGAAACACGCUGGAUUCUCCCAAAGCAGCAGAAAAUGAGGAGAUGGAGCCCCAGACUCGUCUCUCUGCCAUUUCUCAGUCAUGCAAAUUGACACAAGUAAAAAUGUCUGACAUUUUCAGCGAUGUCGUCUCUCGUCAGGUUUCAAAUAAAAACAUGAGUCUUUGCUUCUGCUC